UACUUUCAGGGAUCAUUUCUAUAGUCCUUGACUUGGAAAUACGUUUCGAAAGUGUUGUGUCUCGCUAUUCAUGAUGAUGAGCUAUAAUGCUUUUCUUUGAGCGCGAAUCGGACAGCGAUCGAGACUUUUCAUGCUCAGAAUAGA